AGAGUUUGAUCCUGGCUCAGAAUCAACGCUGGCGGUUUGCCUAACACAUUCAAGUCGAACGCGGUUAGUAGCAAUACUUACUGAGUGGCGAACGCGUGAGUAACACGUGGGUGACCUACCUUCGAGUGGGGGAUAACGUCCCGAAAGGGACGCUAAUCACGCAUAACAUCCUGCCUUUGAAGAGGUGGAGAUCAAAGCCUAGGAUCGCAAGACCUGGCUCUUGAUGAGGGGCCCGCGUCCGAUUAGCUAGUUGGUGAGGUAACGGCUCACCAAGUCGUCGAUCGGUAUCCGGCUAGAGAGGGCGGUCGGCCACACUGGGAGUGAGACACGGCCCAGACUCCUACGGGAGGCAGCAGUGGGGAAUUGUUCGCAAUGGGCGCAAGCCUGACGACGCAACGCCGCGUGGAGGAUGAAGGUCUUCGGAUUGUAAACACCUGUUGCCCGGGACGAAACGCCUCGUCGGACACGGCGAGGUUGACCUACCGGUAGAAGACCCA
rnacentral:rRNA from 1 species